rnacentral:rRNA from 1 species
UGGCUCAGAACGAACGCUGGCGGCAUGGCUAAGACAUGCAAGUCGUACGGACCCUUUUUGCUUGCAUUGAGGGUCAGUGGCGAAAGGGUGUGUAAUGCAUAGGUAACGUACCCUGAACUCGGGGAUAACAGCGGGAGCAAUCCCUUUAGCGAAAGUGCUGCUAAUACCCGACGAAAUCGUCUGUUCGCAUGUUCGGACGAUCGAAGGCGGGGAUCUUCGGACCUGCCGGUUUGGGAGCGGCCUAUGUCCUAUCAGCUUGUUGGUGAGGUAACGGCUCACCAAGGCGGCGACGGGUAGCGGGACUGAGAGGUUGACCCGCCACAUCGGGACUGAGACACUGCCCGGACACCUACGGGUGGCUGCAGUAACGAAUAUUGGGCAAUGGGCGCAAGCCUGACCCAGCAAUGCCGCGUGCAGGAGGAAGCCUUUCGGGGUGUAAACUGCUGUCAGGAGUCAGCAAGCAAUGGGUGUGAAUAGCGCCCGGCGUUGAGCAGCUCCAGAGGAAGCCUCGACUAACUCUGUGCCAGCAGUCGCGGUAAGACAGAGGAGGCAAGCGUUGUUCGGAAUCACUGGGCUUAAAGAGGGUGUAGGCGGCUUGGAAAGUGUCGCGUGAAAUCCAACGGCUCAACCGUUGAAUGGCGCGGCAAACUACCUGGCUUGUGGUCGGUAGAGGUGCCUGGAACUCUUGGUGGAGCGGUGAAAUGCGUAGAUAUCAAGAGGAACGCCGGAGGCGAAAGCGGGGCACUGGGCCGAUUCUGACGCUGAGACCCGAAAGCGUGGGGAGCAAACAGGAUUAGAUACCCUGGUAGUCCACGCCGUAAACGAUGCACACUAGACGUCGGAAUCUCUGACGGUGUCGGCGUCGCAGCAAAAGUACUAAGUGUGCCGCCUGGGGAGUACGGCCGCAAGGCUAAAACUCAAAGGAAUUGACGGGGGCUCACACAAGCGGUGGAGCAUGUGGCUUAAUUCGAAUCAACGCGAAGAACCUUACCCGGGUUUGACAUGCUUGGAUGCCUCCUGGGGAGAACUCAGGUCGGCUGCCCUUCGGGGUGAAACUUGCACAGGUGUUGCACGGCUGUCGUCAGCUCGUGCUGUGAAGUGUCGGGUUAAGUCCCUUAACGAGCGAAACCCCUAUCGCUAGUUGCCAGCGGGUCAUGCCGGGGACUCUAGCGAGACUGCCGGCGUUAAGCCGGAGGAAGGUGGGGACGACGUCAAGUCAU